rnacentral:misc_RNA from 1 species
UCUCCGUAGGUGAACCUGCGGAGGGAUCAUUACAGAGUUCAUGCCCUACCGGGUAGAUCUCCCACCCUAUGUUAUUAUUACUUUGUUGCUUUGGCGGGCCGUUAGGCUCCGGCCCGACUACCGGCCCCGGCUGGUAAGCGCCCGCCAGAGGACCCAAAACCCUGAAUAUUAGUGUCGUCUGAGUACUAUAUAAUAGUUAAAACUUUCAACAACGGAUCUCUUGGUUCUGGCAUCGAUGAAGAACGCAC